GUUCCGGGAAUGAAGUUCUCCCAUGGGAUACCUAAACCGCUUAUUAAGCUGAUGACUUCUGUG
rnacentral:ncRNA from 1 species